CCUACGGGUGACAGCAGUGGGGAAUAUUGGUCAAUGGGCGCAAGCCUGACCCAGCAACGCCGCGUGAAGGAAGAAGGCUUUCGGGUUGUAAACUUCUUUUAUGAGGGACGUAAGAAAUGACGGUACCUCAUUAAUAAGCCACGGCUAACUACGUGCCAGCAGCCGCGGUAAUACGUCGGUGGCAAGCGUUAUCCGGAUUUACUGGGUGUAAAGGGCGUGUAGGCGGGACGGCAAGUCAGAUGUGAAAAUUAUGGGCUCAACCCAUAACUUGCAUUUGAAACUGGAGUUCUUGAGUAAUGGAGAGGCAGGCGGAAUUCGGGGUGUAGCGGUGAAAUGCGUAGAUAUACGGAGGAACACCAGUGGCGAAGGCAGCCUGCUAGACAGUAACUGACGCUGAGGCGCGAAAGCGUGGGGAGCAAACAGGAUUAGAUACCCGGGUAGUC
rnacentral:rRNA from 1 species